UGCAGAAGAAGCACCGGCUAACUCCGUGCCUAGCAGCCGCGGUAAUACGGAGGGUGCGAGCGUUAAUCGGAAUUACUGGCGUAAAGCGCAUGCACGGUGGUUGUUAAGUCAGAUGUGAAAGCCCGGGGCUCAACCUCGGAAUUGCAUUUGAAACUGGCAAACUAGAGUACUGUAGAGGGGGUAGAAUUUCAGGUGUAGCGGUGAAAUGCGUAGAGAUCUGAAGGAAUACCGGUGGCGAAGGCGGCCCCCUGGACCAGAUACUGACACUCAGAUCGCGAAAGCGUGGGGAGCAAACAGGAUUAGAUACCCUCGGUAG
rnacentral:rRNA from 1 species